ensembl:snoRNA SNORA70 Small nucleolar RNA SNORA70
CUGCAGCUAAUUAAGCCGACCAGCUCCCUUUCUUCAUGGGGGCCUGGUGUGCAAUGGCUGCAAACAGCAGCCUCCUUGGUAGUGUAUGCAACCUAUUGUUUGUAUGGGUUGCCCUAAGGGACCUUGGAGACAGCC